rnacentral:lncRNA from 1 species
ACCCAAGCCAACGCUCUCAGCCUCAACCUCAUUGCGUGCGGGCUAGUCAACGGUAUACCGGAACAGAUCUUAUCAACGAUAUCUACAGCACAGUCAAUUUGGUCCUGGAUGAAGACGCCUCACCGCACAGCAUACAUGGGAGCUCUAGUCCGUCUCAGCACUCGCCGAGCAGUAGCAACAAUGUCUCGGACCUGAGCAAUGACUCUAGCCCCGAACAGGGCUAUCCAGACUUUCCCCCCAGCCCCGAUUCCUGGCUUGGUGACUCGUCAAGUACCGACAACACCAGCAGCAAUAACAACAACAAGCAUUAACAGCAUUAACGAUGGUGGCAGAGGCAGCGGCAGUGGUGCAGCGUGCGAAUUUGAGCAAUGUCACCACUGCAAGUCCCAGUAUGCCGUUAUUUUGAGAUGCUGUCUCGCAGUCUUUUUCCUCUCUGCCCAGCACCAACAACAACAAAAGCUUUAACAGCGCCAUGUUGAAAGCGGUAAAUAUUACGAUAGCGAAGCGAAGCGGUUAAGGGGAAUGUGUUAGGAGCUGUGGCAACGCCACUAUAGUUUGGGAACAAAUAUGCAGGUUUUACAUAUAUUAAUAUAAUUUCAUGAAUUCAUUUGUACGUAAAUACAUAGAUACAUAUGUACCUUAUGCCAGG